rnacentral:rRNA from 1 species
UGCAACACAACCAAGUAUAGGAGGUCCAGCCUGCCCGGUGAUUACAAGUUUAACGGCCGCGGUAUUUUGACCGUGCAAAGGUAGCGCAAUCACUUGUCUUUUAAAUAGAGACCUGUAUGAAUGGCCAAACGAGGGCUUAGCUGUCUCCCCUUUCCAGUCAGUGAAAUUGAUUUACCCGUGCAGAAGCGGGUAUAAUAAUACAAGACGAGAAGACCCUUUGGAGCUUAAGGUACAAAACUCAACCACGUAAAGCAACUCAAUGAAAAGCAAAAACUUUGUGGAAUAUGAAACCCUACCUUCGGUUGGGGCGACCACGGAGGAAAACAAAGCCUCCAAGUGGAAUGGGACAAACCUCCUAAAACCAAGAGAGACAUCUCCAAGCCACAGAACAUCUGACCAAACAUGAUCCGGCCACCAAAGCCGAUCAACGAACCAAGUUACCCUAGGGAUAACAGCGCAAUCCUCUCCCAGAGUCCAUAUCGACGAGAGGGUUUACGACCUCGAUGUUGGAUCAGGACAUCCUAAUGGUGCAGCCGCUAUUAAGGGUUCGUUUGUUCAACGAUUAAAGUCCUACGUGAUCUGAGUUCA